GGUGCCGUGGCUUAAUUGGUUAAAGGGCUUUUCUGGUAAGUAGAUAAACCCUGGGUUCAAAUCCCAGAGGUUCCC
rnacentral:tRNA from 1 species